UUUUCUCCAUCAUAUAUUUUCUUUUAGUAAAACGAAGUCAUAAGUCAUACUAUUUGUUUAUUUUGAAGUCGGAAAACAUGCAGAUAAUUUGCAUCCAUUUGAAAUUAUUUUCAAAUCAUACACGUGCUCAUAUUCAUCAAGGUGGAUAUUUUGAGAAAAGGAUUUGGAACAUGCAGUCAUAUUUUUCUCUUCCAAAAAAUUCAUUUGAUCUAUCAAGGUGGGAUAACGGAGUGCCGUUGUUUUUAUCUCGUUUAAAUUAUUUUUCUAUGUUAUUGAAUUAUUAUAUUUAUGAAAGUUAAAGAAUGAUAUGAUAUGGUCAUUCAGUACCAAAGAUAUGAUAUGUAAUGAGCUUUCACCGGUCUCUAAAAAUAUGAUGAUGAUAUGAUAUUUUUUACGCAUGAUUUAAAUAUUUUUCUUUAGGAUUAUACCAUUAUUUUCGUGUUCUACUAAGUAUUCUCAUAUACUUACCAUUUUUCCCAACUUCUCACAGUUUAGAACAGGUCGUUGGUUGGCGGACGAUAAGGUCCAGUCGUGGUGCCAGGAUUUUUGGAACUCAAUAAAAAUAAUCCUAUGUAAUUUGACUAUGGAUUUAUUUUCAGCAUUAUUUUGGUUUUAUUAAAAUGUGGAUCUUGUUAUUUAGGAUUUGGAACAUAUUUUAAUUGGUUGUGUUUCCUAUAUGUUUAUUUAAUAUUGGC
rnacentral:lncRNA from 1 species